rnacentral:rRNA from 1 species
UCCCUACGGGAGGCAGCAGUGGGGAAUAUUGCACAAUGGGGGAAACCCUGAUGCAGCAACACCGCGUGAGUGAGGAAGUCUUUCGGUAUGUAAAGCUCUAUCAGCAGGGAAUAGAAAAGAAGGUACCUGAAAAAGAAGCCCCGGCUAACUACGUGCCAGCAGCCGCGGUAAUACGUAGGGGGCAAGCGUUAUCCGGAUUUACUGGGUGUAAAGGGAGCGUAGGUGGCAUGGCAAGCCAGAAGUGAAAACCCGGGGCUUAACCCCGCGGAUUGCUUUUGGAACUGUCAGGCUGGAGUGCAGGAGGG